rnacentral:rRNA from 1 species
ACGGGAGGCAGCAGUGGGGAAUAUUGCACAAUGGGGGAAACCCUGAUGCAGCGAUGCCGCGUGGAGGAAGAAGGUUUUCGGAUUGUAAACUCCUGUCUUAAAUGACGAUAAUGACGGUACUUUAGGAGGAAGCUCCGGCUAACUACGUGCCAGCAGCCGCGGUAAUACGUAGGGAGCGAGCGUUGUCCGGAAUUACUGGGUGUAAAGGGAGCAUAGGCGGGACGGCAAGUCAGAUGUGAAAUACAUGGGCUCAACCCAUGGGCUGCAUUUGAAACUGCUGUUCUUGAGUGAAGUAGAGGUAAGCGGAAUUCCUGGUGUAGCGGUGAAAUGCGUAGGUAUCAGGAGGAACACCGGUGGCGAAGGCGGCUUACUGGGCUUUUACUGACGCUGAGGCUCGAAAGCGUGGGGAGCAAACAGGAUUAGAUACCCUGGUA